GACAGGAGCCGAGUGGGCCAGUACGUGCGCCAGGCCCUGCCGUUCCUGGAGAGCCCAGAGGAGCCCCUGCGAAAGCUGGCCAUCAAGUUUCUGGGGAUCGCCGCCAGGUCCAUGAAGCAGGAGCAGCCAGAGCUGCAGCUCAUCUGCCAGGCCCUUCAAGACAUGACUGAUGACAGCCCUGCCGUCUCAAACCUGGCCAUUGAAACGCUCCACAUCAUCAGAGCUGUACGGAGG